CCUCAUUGGCCUGCUGAGGGCAGAUAAAAUGGAUGUGCGAGUCAAACCCUCCCGCUGUAAUGAUCUUGCCCUCCCCGGCAAUAACAUCCGUACAAGACCCAACGAUCAUAUUCGGCGAGACCCCCUCCAUCACAUCCGGAUUUCCCGCCUUCCCAAUACCUACGAUGAAGCCAUCCUUGACCCCGAUAUCAGCUUUGUAGAUACCGGUCCAAUCCACAAUCAACGCAUUCACAAUCACCAAAUCGAGGGAGACCUCAUCCGAAACCCCAGUAGCUUGUCCCAUGCCCUCGCGGAGG
rnacentral:sRNA from 1 species